GAUAAUUUGUUGGAGCACUUCCAGGAUUUUGAUAAUCUAUAGGAGCAUUGCUAGGGUUUUGAUAACUUGUAGGAAGAUUGCCAGGAUUUUGAUAAUUUGUAGGAGCAUUACCUGGAUUUUGAUAAUUUGUAGGAGCAUUACCUGGAUUUUGAAAAUUAUUUGGCGCCUGGCUUGAAUGUUGAUAAUUAACAGGAGCAUUUCCUGGAUUCUGAUAAUUUGGUGGAUUAUUGCCUGGAUUCUGAUAAUUUUGUGGAUUAUUGCCUGGAUUCUGAUAAUUAGAUUGAGUAUUGCUUGGAUUCUGAA